rnacentral:rRNA from 1 species
UAUCUUCGGAUAGAGAGACCGGCGCACGGGUGCGUAACGCGUAUGCAAUCUACCUUUCACAGAGGGAUAGCCCAGAGAAAUUUGGAUUAAUACCUCAUAGUAUGCAGAGUUGGCAUCAACACUGCAUUAAAGUCACAACGGUGAAAGAUGAGCAUGCGUCCCAUUAGCUAGAUGGUAAGGUAACGGCUUACCAUGGCUACGAUGGGUAGGGGUCCUGAGAGGGAGAUCCCCCACACUGGUACUGAGACACGGACCAGACUCCUACGGGAGGCAGCAGUGAGGAAUAUUGGACAAUGGGCGCAAGCCUGAUCCAGCCAUGCCGCGUGCAGGAUGACGGUCCUAUGGAUUGUAAACUGCUUUUGCACAGGAAGAAACAACUCUACGUGUAGAGUCUUGACGGUACUGUGAGAAUAAGGAUCGGCUAACUCCGUGCCAGCAGCCGCGGUAAUACGGAGGAUCCAAGCGUUAUCUGGAAUCAUUGGGUUUAAAGGGUCCGUAGGCGGUUUAGUAAGUCAGUGGUGAAAGCCCAUCGCUCAACGGUGGAACGGCCAUUGAUACUGCUAGACUUGAAUUAUUAGGAAGUAACUAGAAUAUGUAGUGUAGCGGUGAAAUGCUUAGAGAUUACAUGGAAUACCAAUUGCGAAGGCAGGUUACUACUAAUGGAUUGACGCUGAUGGACGAAAGCGUGGGUAGCGAACAGGAUUAGAUACCCUGGUAGUCCACGCCGUAAACGAUGGAUACUAGCUGUUGGGAGCG